rnacentral:sRNA from 1 species
GCUGGGCAUGGUGGUGCAUGCCUGUAAUCCCAGUGGCUCUGGAGGCUCAGACAGGAGGAUAGAGGAGGGGGAAUUCAAAGCCAGCAAUGUUGAGAUGCUAAGCAACUCAGAGAGACUCUGUCUCUA